AUUCGGUACAAAUAAAAAAUUAGUGUCCUUUUCCCUAGGUAAUGGCUCAAAUCAGGGCUGAGAAGACUGAGUACACCAAAAACCCUUAGGGCAGAGACUGUAGCCUCGAGGGCCUAGUUCAUUACAUGGCAUAUAGGAGCAUGUGGUAAACAUCUUUAGAAGAUAAUUAUUGAAUUCAGAGUCUUUGAUGAAUAUUGAGAUAAAUGGCAGUUUAGUAGUUUCUAGUGAUGCCAUGGAGUAGAAAAUGAAGCCUAAUUUCACUUCUGUAUUUCUUAAGUAUUUGGUUGUGCUAUUAUAAAACAAAUUAACAAGUACCAUACACUGUUUUGGUUAUUUUACAAAUAUGGUUCUGUGUUCUGAUGAUGAUUGAUUAUGAUGAAAAAACUGGUUAAAUUUUUCAGAAAUUAAUAAUAGGAUGACAAAAUUCAUGGUGGGAAAUUAGCACAGAAAUGAGCAGAAGUAAAUUAACAUUGUAUUAAACUCCUAUUCUUUACCAGACCUUUAAAAAAAAAUCAAUUCAGUUCAUUUCAGUCUCUCAGUCGUGUCCGACUCUUUGCAACCCCAUGAAUUGCAGCACGCCAGGCCUCCCUGUCCAUCACCAUUUCCCGGAGUUCACUGAAACUCAUGUCCAUCAAGUCGGUGAUGCCAUCCAGCCAUCUCAUCCUCUGUCGUCCCCUUCUCCUCCUGCCCCCAAUCCCUCCCAGCAUCAGAGUCUUUUCCAAUGAGUCAACUCUUCGCAUGAGGUGGCCAAAGUAUUGGAGUUUCAGCUUUAGCAUCAGUCCUUCCAUGAACAUCCAGGACUGAUCUCCUUUAGAAUGGACUGGUUGGAUCUCCUUGCAGUUGAGAUGAAUGCAAUUGUGUGGUAGUUUGAGCAUUCUUUGGCAUUGCCUUUCUUUGGGAUUGGAAUGAAAACUGACGUUUUCCAGUCCUGUGGGCACUGCUGAGUUUUCGAAAUUUGCUGGCAUAUUGAGUGCAGCACUUUCACAGAAUCAUCUUUCAGGAUUUGAAAUAGCUCAACUGGGAUUCCAUCACGUCCACUAGCUUUGUUCAUAGUGAUGCUUUCUAAGGCCCACUUGACUUCACAUUCCAGGAUGUCUGGCUCUAGGUCAGUGAUCACACCAUCGUGAUUAACUGGGGCAUGAAGAUCUUUCUUGUACAGUUCUUCUGUGUAUUCUUGCCACCUCUUCUUAAUAUCGUCUGCUUCUGUUAGGUCCAUACCAUUUCUGCCCUUUAUCGAGCCCAUCUUUGCAUGAAAUGUUCCCUUGGUAUCUCUAAUUUUCUUGAAGAGAUCUCUAGUCUUUCCCAUUCUGUUGUUUUCCUCUAUUUCUUUGCAUUGAUCGUUGAGGAAGGCUUUCUUAUCUCUCCUUGCUAUUCUUUGGAACUCUGGAUUCAGAUGCUUACACCUUUCCUUUUCUCUUUUGCUUUUUGCUUCUCUUCUUUUCACAGCUAUUUGUAAGGCCUCCUCAGACAGCCAUUUUGCUUUUUUGCAUUUCUUUUUCUUGGGGAUGGUCUUGAUCCCUGUCUCCUGUACAAUGUCACGAACCUCCAUCCAUAGUUCAUCAGGCACUCUACUUCUCACUUACACUGUAUAAUCGUAAGGAAUUUGAUUUAGGUCAUACCUGAACGGUCUAGUGGUUUUCCCUACUUUCUUCAGUUUAAGUCUGAAUUUGGCAAAAAGCGAUGUUUAAAUAAUAUUCUCUUAAAAUCCUCACUACAACCUAGAUAAUAUUUCCCCAGUUUACAGGUGUGGAACAUGAUGCUGACAGAAUGGUUUGCUAAUGAGUGCAGGGGAAAAGGGAGCCCUAGAACUCCUUUAGCCUUCCUAAAUCCACGCCAUCCUGUUGCACUUGAAGAUUAGUUGCAUGUCUCCUAGUAAUGCGUCGUAAGAAGUCAGGUGCUGCUGCUGCUGCGUCGCUUCAGUCGUGUCCGACUCUGUGCGACCCCAUAGACUGCAGCCCACCAGGCUCCCCCAUCCCUGGGAGUCUCCAGGCAAGAACACUGGAGUGGUUUGCCAUUUCCUUCUCCAAUGCAUGCAAAUGAAAAGGGAAAGUGAAGUUGCUCAGUCGUGUCCGACUCUUAGCGACCCCAUGGACUGCAGCCUGCCAGGCUCCUCCGUCCAUGGGAUUUUCCAGGC
ensembl:lncRNA